rnacentral:RNase_P_RNA from 1 species
AUGUUCGGGUAAUCGCUGCGGCAAUUCAUUGCCGUAGAGGAAAGUCCAUGCUCGCACGGUGCUGAGAUGCCCGUAGUGUUCGUGCCUAGCGAAACCAUAAGCUAGGGCAGUCUGGCGUAAUGCUGGGCUGACGGCGGGGAAAGAACCUAAGUCCCAGGGCCUCUCUUGGGAUAUGGUUCGAUUACCCUGAAAGUGCCACAGUGACGCAGCUCUAAGGGAAACCUUAGAGGUGGAACGCGGUAAACCCCACGAGCGAGAAACCCAAAUUAUGGUAGGGGCGCCUUCCCGAAGGAAAUGAACGGAGGGAAGGACAGAUGGAGUUUUUUCCAUCUGUAGAUAGAUGAUUACCGCCGGAGUACGAGGCGACAAGCCGUUUGCAGUACGAAGGUACAGAACAUGGCUUACAGAA